rnacentral:sRNA from 7 species
UGUAUCUGAGGCCUGACGAGGAUGAGAACCUCCGGGGGCAAGAGGUUCGACCCGAGCGAAGCGAGAGAACGUUGCGUCAGCAACGGCCCGCAGGGCGAGCCACGCAGUGGCGAGUCAUCCUCUAUCACCGACCA